UGAACCACUUCGGUGGGGAUUAGUGGCGAACGGGUGAGUAACACGUGGGCAAUCUGCCCUUCACUCUGGGACAAGCCCUGGAAACGGGGUCUAAUACCGGAUAACACCUCCACUCUCCUGAGUGGAGGUUAAAAGCUCCGGCGGUGAAGGAUGAGCCCGCGGCCUAUCAGCUUGUUGGUGAGGUAAUGGCUCACCAAGGCGACGACGGGUAGCCGGCCUGAGAGGGCGACCGGCCACACUGGGACUGAGACACGGCCCAGACUCCUACGGGAGGCAGCAGUGGGGAAUAUUGCACAAUGGGCGAAAGCCUGAUGCAGCGACGCCGCGUGAGGGAUGACGGCCUUCGGGUUGUAAACCUCUUUCAGCAGGGAAGAAGCGAAAGUGACGGUACCUGCAGAAGAAGCGCCGGCUAACUACGUGCCAGCAGCCGCGGUAAUACGUAGGGCGCAAGCGUUGUCCGGAAUUAUUGGGCGUAAAGAGCUCGUAGGCGGCUUGUCACGUCGGGUGUGAAAGCCCGGGGCUUAACCCCGGGUCUGCAUUCGAUACGGGCUAGCUAGAGUGUGGUAGGGGAGAUCGGAAUUCCUGGUGUAGCGGUGAAAUGCGCAGAUAUCAGGAGGAACACCGGUGGCGAAGGCGGAUCUCUGGGCCAUUACUGACGCUGAGGAGCGAAAGCGUGGGGAGCGAACAGGAUUAGAUACCCUGGUAGUCCACGCCGUAAACGGUGGGAACUAGGUGUUGGCGACAUUCCACGUCGUCGGUGCCGCAGCUAACGCAUUAAGUUCCCCGCCUGGGGAGUACGGCCGCAAGGCUAAAACUCAAAGGAA
rnacentral:rRNA from 1 species